AAUGAAGUGCCUGACAAAAGGAUUACUUUGAUAGGGUAAAUCAUGUAAUUUAUUACCUUCAUUU
rnacentral:tRNA from 1 species